GCAAGUGCAGACAGCUUUUUCUUGUUGUCUAGAGCCAUUGCUUCCAGAGCUUAUGAAGAGCUAUAAAAGAGGCCAGGACACCUGGGUCUAGUCUCAGCUCUACCACCAACUAGCAAUGUGGCCAAGCACCAAGGCUUUCUGGUCUUAGCUUUCUCAUCUAUAAAAUGAAGAAGCCAAAGUUAACUGGAUUUCUAGCCCCUACCAACUCUAACAUCUCUAGCAGUCAUGAUUUAAAGCUUCAAGCAUAUGAUUAUGAGAUGGUGGUUCUCAACAUUUACCACAACCUCCCAGCAAACCACACAGCAGUCAACUCUCAAGAUUUCUUCCAGGAGGGUAGAGGGAUUUUUCUCUUCACAUGCCAUCCAACUCCAUGGGAAAACAUUAGCAGUGACAAAUGACUCUGGAUGAACGCUUGAAUCCGAGAAGACUUGAUCUUAUAUUUAGAAAAACCUGAAGACUCUGCCAAAAAACUUUUAGAACUGAAACACAAUCUUAGUAAAAUUACAAGAUACAAAUAACAUAAAAACAUCAGUAGUGUUUCUAUAUGCUAACAGAUCUAUCUGAAAAAGUAAUCAAGAAAACAAUUUUGUUUACAAUAGCUACAAAAAUAUCAAAAUAUAAAUUCAACCAAAGAUGUGAAAAAUCUCUGCCAGGAAACUAUAAAACACUGAUGAAAGAAGUUGAAGAGGACAUGAAAAAUGGAAAAUAUCCCAUGCCAUGGGUG